GGUCACUUAGUUCAGCAUAACUUGUUCCCGAGACGCUAAAAAAACUAACAAUAUUUCCAUGGAAUGGUGUAGGCGUAGAUAUUUAUUGGACUGCAUUCUAAACGUUUAACCAUUGUGGAAGAGUGCGUCAAGAGAACCAUUGUGGAAGAGUGCGUCGAGGGAACAUUCGGAGAAAGUUUUCAGUUUGCUGCGGACGAAAAAAAAAAUCUUCAUUAACAUCAAAAAACGGUGGCUAAAAGACAGGAAACUUCACUUGGUACUGAUUAGCCGUUGCUUUGUCUGCCCGACGAUGGAAAACAAGUUCUUGAUUUUAUUGCUGACCAUCGCAGUUCAAUUUCUGUCAACCGAGGGCCGAACGUGUCACUUCUACGACUACUCGAAGUCAUGUUCUGGUUCAAACUGCCCUUUGAGCACGAUUCAGUGUAAAGACGAGCAGGACAAGUGCUUCUCGGUUUAUGGCUACGCAACUGAUGGAACUUUGAAGGCUUUCCAAAUAGGCUGCUGGAAACAAGAUGACGGUUGUUCACAGACAGCGUGCAUAUUUCGGAAAGUUGCGUCAAUACAUUUCUGCUGUUGCACUGGGGACCUGUGCAACU